UACGUAGGGUGCAAGCGUUAAUCGGAAUUACUGGGCGUAAAGCGUGCGCAGGCGGUUUUGUAAGUCUGUCGUGAAAGCCCCGGGCUCAACCUGGGAAUUGCGAUGGAGACUGCAAGGCUUGAAUCUGGCAGAGGGGGGUAGAAUUCCACGUGUAGCAGUGAAAUGCGUAGAGAUGUGGAGGAACACCGAUGGCGAAGGCAGCCCCCUGAGUCAAGAUUGACGCUCAUGCACGAAAGCGUGGGGAGCAAACAGG
rnacentral:rRNA from 1 species